rnacentral:rRNA from 1 species
AGAUUGAACGCUGGCGGCAGGCCUAACACAUGCAAGUCGAGCGGUAGAGAGGUGCUUGCAUCUCUUGAGAGCGGCGGACGGGUGAGUAAUGCCUAGGAAUCUGCCUAGUGGGUGGGGGAUAACGUUCGGAAACGGACGCUAAUACCGCAUACCGUCCUACGGGAGAAAG